GGCCUUGGGGACAUCUUCGAGUGGCUUUCGCUUCCCCCCGGCCCAUCCUGUGGGAUUGCGGUCUGGGGACACCUCACCAAAAUCCUCGAAGACUCUUUGGGGCUUUUCCGUUCCCUUUUCUCCCUUCCGCUUUUUUUAUUUGUUUAUUUUUUUUUAACAUUCUUCCCCUUUCUGAGCCCUUGGCUGGGUCCGGCUCUGCUUCAUCCGCGGGGGCACAAAUUUCCAGUGAGGAUUGGUGUGAAAAUGGGAUUUUCUUACUUAUUUCUCAUCAUUAAUUAAUUAUCCCCCGAGCGCCACGGUAACAGAGGCGCUCCCCGAGGCUGGGAAUUCUGCUUUUCCCGAAUUUCCCGGUCCAGCCUCCCCCCAAAAGGAUCUUUGGGAAUGGGGAAGCUCGGCUGGGCUGCUCUAGGUGGCAGCAGCCUCCUUCCCUUUCCCGAGCCAUUCCCGCUCUUCAUCCACCUCCCCACCCCUCCUCCUCCUCCUCCUCCUCCAUCUCCCUUCCCCCUCUCCAUCCAUCCCUGCGUGUCCCCCCUGGAAUUCGGGUUUUGGGGGGGUUGGACGGGGCUUGGAGCGCCCUGGGCUGGGGGAAUUGUUCUGGUCUUGGAAGGGGACAAGGUUCCUGUUCUUCCACCCCAGCCCGCAGGUCCCAUCCUGCUCAGGGAGCCAAAAUUCCCUCUCAGUUUGACCCAAAAUUCCCCCCAGUUUGACCCAAAAUUCCCCCCAGUUUGAACCAAAAUUCCCACUCAAUUUGAUUCAAAAUUCCCCCCCAAUUUGACCCAAAACCCCAGUGAAAUCCCAAAAACCCAAUGACACCCCAAAAACUCAGUGGCACCCCAAAAUUCAGUGACACCCCUAAAACCCGGUAAAAUCCCAAAAUCCCAGUGAAAUCCCCAAAACCCUAUGAAAUCCCUAAAACCCAGUGAAAUCCCAAAAACCUGGUGAAAUCCCAAAAUUCUGCGACACCCUAAAAACCUGGUGACACCCCUAAAACCCCAUGAAAUCCCAAAAACCUAGUGACAGCCCUAAAACCUCUUGACACCCUAAAACCCAGUGACACCCCAAAGACAUCCCAAAUACCCAGUGACACCCUAAAACCCAUUGAAACCCCAAAAACCCUGCAAAACCCCAAAAACCCCAUGAAAACCCCAAAAACCCCGGCCGUCCUUGCCCAAGGACUCGCAGCUCCAGCCCCGCCGUGGGGUUUUGAGCGUGAAAACCUCGAGAGCAGCGAAGCAAAAAUUGCAUUUCCUGAAAAAUUGCAUUUCCUGCUGCGGCUGCAGGAACGCGGGAGGGAACGAGCGGCGUCAGCAGCGCCAGCACUGCCUACCUCAGGCACCUGGAUUUUCCAAAAGUGGGUGGGAUGGAGAUGAAGACAAGAAGAGGAGGAGGAAGAAGAGGAGGAAGAGGAGGAACCACUCCAGGCACCUGGAUUUUCCAAAAGUGGGUGGGAUGGAGAUGAAGACAAGAAGAGGAGGAGGAAGAGGAGGAACCGCUCCAGGUGGGAACAGCGACAUUCCUGCUGCUCCAUCCCACCGCACCCCAGCAGCUCCCACCCAUUUUUUUCACUUUUUGACCCAAAAUUGGCUUCCUCACCACUGCCUACCUCAGGCACCUGGAUUUUCCAAAAGUGGGUGGGAUGGAGAUGAAGACAAGAAGAGGAGGAGGAAGAGGCGGAACCGCUCCAGGUGUGAACAGGGAUGUUCCUGCUUCUCCACCCCACCCCAGCCCAGUAGCUCCCACCCAUUUUUUCCACUUUUUGACCCAAAAUUGGCUUCCUCAGCACUGCCCACCUCAGGCAGCAACUCCAGGUGACACCUGGAUUUUCCACAGUUGGAUGGGAUGGAAACAGGGAGAGGAGGAGGAACCGCUCCAGGUGUGAACAGGGAUGUUCCUGCUCCUCCAUCCCACCACACCCCAGCAGCUCCCACCCGUUUUUUUCACUUUUUGACCCAAAAUUGGCUUUCCCAGCACUGCCCACCCCAGACAGCAGCUCACCUGAGGUGCCACCUGAGGUGCCACCUGUGUUUCCAGGGCUGUGGACCUUGGCCCCGCUCCCCAGCACCUGUGGUUGCCCCGGAGCUUUCCCGGUUAUCGCUCCUGCCCCAGCCUCGGGAACAGCUGGGAAACAGCCGGAUUUACCGGAUGAGGGAUCCUUCCUCCUCCUCCCUCCUCCUCCUCCCUCCCCGGGCUGGAGCUGGGAACAAAAGGAGGAAAAUCAGCGGGGAUGGGACAGCCCUGUUUGCUUCCCGAGAGUGGGAACAGCCUGGAGCUCUGUCCCGAGGGUUUGGCCUUGAGGCCGUUUUGUUUUGUCCCUUUUAAAGGAACAUUUCAGCCACGGGAGGAGCUGGGAUUGAGAGCCCAGAAAUGCCAAAGGCCCAAAGGGGAAAGGAAGAGGGAAAAGUUGGGGAAAUGGGGAGGUACCAGCUUGUCCUGGUGUGAGGAAUGGUCACAAAUCCCAUCUCUGGGAAAAACAAAUCCCAUAUUUGGGAAACAGAAACAAAUUCCAUCUUUGGGAAAAUCAAAUCCCACCCUUGAGAAACAAAUCCAAUCUCUGGGAAAAACAAAUCCCAUAUUUGGGAAACAGAAACAAAUUCCAUCUUUGGGAAACAGAAACAAAUUCUAUCUUUGGGAAAAUCAAAUCCCACCCUUGGGAAACAAAUCCAAUCUCUGGGAAAAACAAAUCCCAUAUUUGGGAAACGGGAACAAAUUCCAUCUUUGGGAAACAGAAAUAAAUCCCAUCUUUGGGAAGAACAAAUCCCAUGUUUGGGAAAAAGAAACAAAUCCCGUAUUUGGGAAACAGAAAUAGAUCCCAUCUUUGGGACAAACAAAUCCCAUAUUUGGGAAAAAACAAAUCCCAUUUUUGGGAAAAAGAAACGAAUCCCAUCUUUGGGAAAAUCAAGUCCCACCUUUGGGAAAAGCAUUGCUUUUCUUUCUCCUGUCUCUGGGUUGUUGGUGGGACUCAGUGACCCUAGCGGGUUUUCCAACCUGAGCAAUUCCACUUUUCCCACUUUUCUGGACUCUCAGCCCUUGCUGGCCUCAGACUGAGGCGCCUGCAGCUCCUCGGAGACGCAAACCUGGGAAUCGUUUCAGGAAGGAGCCGAGCGGGCACGGAAAGACCGGGAGAACAAGACACAUCACGUUCCCCGGAUGAUAAUGAGGGAAUGAAAUUAAACCACCUGGGAGACCAAAACUCUCCUUCCUUCCUUCCUUCCUUCCUUCCUUCCUCAGGAGCAGCUUCCCCUCCACGGCAGCAAUUCCUGCCUGAGCUAUCACCCGUGGAAAAUCCAGAAAUGAAUCACGGCCAGGAUUGGGGAACGCCGCUCAGAUAAUUCCUAAAGCUGUUGUUCCAACCCAAUAAAACCCCGUGCAACAACAAGGGGCGUCCCAUAAUUUGUGUUAAUUCCGGAAUCGCUGCUAAUUCCGGCCCAAUUAGGAGAUAAAACACGGCGCCGGAGCCGCUUAUUAAAUUACAAAUCAUCCCGGCUAAAUCCGAGGAUUAUUUAACACCGAGGGUUUGGGGGAGCUGCGCCGGAAUAACAAUGUCAGGGGAGCAGGGGCGUUAAUCAAAGUAAUGAAAACAUAAAUUAGGGGAGGCUGGGCCAAUAAACAGGAAAUAAAUAGGGUUGGAGGGAGAGAAAUGCAUAAAGCAGCAGCAUUAAAGGAUAAACCCGCAGUGUUGGGAGCGCUGUAAAUUCCCAACCGUUUUCCCCAGGAUUGGAUUUUCGGGGCUGAUUUGUGGCCGUGUCCCGGCGAACCGGCGAGAUGAUAAAUACAGAGAUUUCUGCACCCCCAGCUGCCACCAAACCCUCCUGGGGGACGCCCAGAGCUCCCAGGUCCCUCCUGGAAUUUCUGCCCUGCUCAGGGAUGAGACCUGGCUGCUCAUUCCUGGGAAAUGGAGCCAAAAUAGGGGGUGGAGUGAAAAUAUUGGGGUUUAACUUGGGAUUCACUCUGUUCUGCCUUUGGGGGGCUGAAGGACGGGGAGUAGGUUCAGGUGGAUCUGCACACCCAGUUUAGGAUCUGGGAGCAGGGUCAGUGUUUGCUGCCCUAUGGAUCUGA